AUUGAACGCUGGCGGAAUGCUUUACACAUGCAAGUCGAACGGUAGAGGGGGCAACCCCUCGAGAGUGGCGAACGGGUGAGUAAUAUAUCGGAACGUGCCCAGUCGUGGGGGAUAACGUAGCGAAAGUUACGCUAAUACCGCAUACGAUCUAAGGAUGAAAGCGGGGGAUCGCAAGACCUCGCGCGAUUGGAGCGGCCGAUAUCAGAUUAGGUAGUUGGUGGGGUAAAGGCUCACCAAGCCAACGAUCUGUAGCUGGUCUGAGAGGACGACCAGCCACACUGGAGCUGAGAAACGGUCCAGACUCCUACGGGAGGCAGCAGUGGGGAAUUUUGGACAAUGGACGCAAGUCUGAUCCAGCCAUUCCGCGUGCAGGAUGAAGGCCCUCGGGUUGUAAACUGCUUUUGUACGGAACGAAAAGGUCUCUCUUAAUACGGGGGACUCAUGACGGUACCGUAAGAAUAAGCACCGGCUAACUACGUGCCAGCCGCCGCAGUAA
rnacentral:rRNA from 1 species